rnacentral:RNase_P_RNA from 1 species
CGCUGGCGUCACACGUUGAUGCGAGAGGAAAGUCCGGGCAGCACAGGGCACUCCACUUCCGAAAAUAGAAGCUGCCGGCGACGGUAGGAAACGCAGAAGAAAACAACCGCCUUGCUUCGGCGAGGUAAGGGUGAGAAGGUGGUGUAAGAGACCACCAGCAGGCGGGUGAUCGUCUGGCUGUGCAAUCUGGGGGCUGCAAGUUCAUGUAUACCAUCGGUCGAGGGUUGCCCGUCCGAGAGCUUAGGGCUCACGAUGGAGGGUAGAAUGCUGGAGCCGUGGGGCGACCUACGGAGUAGAUAAAUGGCAGGCACCGCACUUGCCGAGAGGCUCUUGCGGAACGGAACCCGGCUUAUAGGGGCUCU